UCGAAUAACUAAGGUCGAAUUUUAGCGAGCAGAGACGAAAGACGAGCUACAAAAACGGCGACUUGAAAGUUCAAUAACAGCGACAGAAGUGGAUUUGAACUGUUUCCUUCUUCACGAGAGGAUGCGUCUAACCGUAAGACUGUGGUGUUUUAUACCGAAAAGUGUCCGAUUUAGGUUUAAGUUUAUACCCUUUAGCCAUUUAGCAUAGUCCUAGAAAGCAAGUAAGCCAUCCGGGAUUCUUUCAGGAACGCCAACUCCACGGAGAUGCUGCAUUUCUCAGACUAACAACUAGUUGUCCUGAUGGAACAGAUAUGUGGGGGCGUUUUUUUGCUCGUGUCGGACCUAACCCUGAACACCUGGCAAGUGCUAGACCCAGGCAGAUGUUGCUACAACAAUGAGUGCAUUUCUGAUAGUGAAUGAAGAGAAUGACAGAGAAUGAAGCCAAGUGUCCAUCUGCCUGCCUGCCGGCGUGAGUGAGUGAGUGAGAAAGACUGAAUGAAUGAGUGAGAGUGUGAGUAAAUGAGAAGAGACAGCAAGCUUUGUGAUGUAAUAGUUGUGUUGACCACUGUGACCUAGUUGCAGUAUCUCCCCCCAGUAGCCACUCCCGGUGCAAGACAAAGGUUAUGGGAACUGGACACUACUAGCAUCUGUUUGCUCCAUGCAGAAGCCGUGGGUAAUUUUAAAUUGGUUUGCAGGACAGAUUUACUUGGGAGUUUUUUUAUUGUCUUAAAACAGUUAAAGUACGGAUGCAUAAGAUUAGAAAGCUGCCUGAGGUUUAUUAUAAAAAAUUUCUCAGUCAUUAAAAACAUAAUUUAUGAAUGGUUGUCACUUAUGGCUAGUGUUUUGUUGAUGGAACAUCAGCAAAGGUUACAUGGUACAUACACAUGUACACACAUACCUUGACCUUAUCCAGCCAUACCCUAAACUUAAUAUACCCCCACACCUAACCCAGGCUGUGCUGUCGUGUCAUGCAAUAUCAGGUCCAGAUUAUCAUUUGCAUUGUAAUGUAUUCAGUGUGAAAGAUGGUAACGUGUUUAAGCACUGGUUUCACUUUAGGAGUAUUUUGUUAAGCACUGUUCUCACUUCAGAUGUUUUUGGGCUUCAAUUGGGCAUUCCACUUGCCAUGAGUUUUGAACAAGCAUGAAAUUGAAAAAUCACUGCUCUGUUCUAGUUCAGCCUUCCUAUUAGAGUGUCUGAGAGUGUCACACAUGUCAACUAGGGUGUGGAAAGCAGAGGUGGCAUGUGCUGGGUGAGAAGCAGUGUUUUUGUACGAGCCGUGAAGGUGCGGAGAGGUUCCCAGCCCUCAGUAAGGGCCACUCACUCCAGAACCUCGGACAGAUUGUUCACCAACUCAUUCAACAUUUGUUGAUAAAAUGGGUAGUAACUAGCUACUGUUUCAGUUUAGUUCAUGUGCAUAAGUCAAAUUUUGUAAAAUUCUUUUAGCAUUUUUGAAUCACAUUAGAUAAAGUAUAUGUAUCUAUUUUUUUUUAUUCUGAUAUAUUUAUUUGUUAAUGCUGUUCUGUUAGUUUCAACACCCGGUCUGUUUUGCUUUUCCUUAUACAUGUCAUUUUGAAACUGAUUUUUAUGGUGGACCAAAAGUAAAACAACCAAUAGGCACAGUUGUUCUGUUUUUAUCAUUUCCUUUGCUUACAGCUAUUUUGUUUUAAGAA